UACGAAGGGGGCUAGCGUUGCUCGGAAUCACUGGGCGUAAGGGGCGCGUAGGCGGGUUUUUAAGUCAGGGGUGAAAUCCUGGAGCUCAACUCCAGAACUGCCUUUGAUACUGAAGAUCUUGAGUUCGGGAGAGGUGAGUGGAACUGCGAGUGUAGAGGUGAAAUUCGUAGAUAUUCGCAAGAACACCAGUGGCGAAGGCGGCUCACUGGCCCGAUACUGACGCUGAGGCACGAAAGCGUGGGUAGCAAACAGG
rnacentral:rRNA from 1 species